rnacentral:hammerhead_ribozyme from 1 species
AUCCAGGUGACGAGUCCCAAAUAGGAUGAAUUGACGCGCUUCCUGGAU